rnacentral:rRNA from 1 species
GGAUGACUCUCGGCAACGGAUAUCUCGGCUCUUGCAUCGAUGAAGAACGUAGCGAAAUGCGAUACCUGGUGUGAAUUGCAGAAUCCCGUGAACCAUCGAGUCUUUGAACGCAAGUUGCGCCCGAGGCCAUCCGGCCAAGGGCACGCCUGCCUGGGCGUCACGCUU